GCACACUUUUAAUGAAAGCUGUGGCAUUUCUCUUCCCUCCUGAUGUGCUGGCAGAAAAGAAUCACAGGUCAUUUUUUAGUACAAAAUGAGGAGCGCCAAAUAAAUCAGCCAGUGAAUAAAGUUCCUAGGAAAACUAGCAGUAGCUCCUCCACCCAAGGCUGAACUGGAAGCCAGGUGUCUGAGGAGCAGCUCUGAAUGCUAGCUUCUUAAUCAAGGUUCCGGAGGGAACACCAUGGACAGGUAGUAAUGAGGCCACUCCGUUGCCAGGUCAACAGACAUUGACCUCCUCUGGUUGGACUCCUUUCAACCUCUGGCCCAAAUCUCCUGUUACUGUGAACUUUGAGUGAAACAGGAGACAACAACCUGGAGGGUUUGUGGCUGUGGGAAGUCUCCUCUGUCAAUGCUUCAAAAUGAUGAAUUCCCUGCUGGUGGCAGAGUGAAGAGAAGGCCUUUUUUGACUAAUCCUUUCUCUUCUGCUCCUCAUCACAUUAGCAUCACGCUUGGCGUUUCAAACGUGGAAACAGCUUCGGACAACUUAACUCCAGGAGACGCAGCCUCUCUAAGAUGAAAGAUUCUCAAACUCAGUUGACGUCUGCAACCAACUUUCAGAAGAAAAGAACAAAGAACAAACUGAAAGAGGGAAGAUCGUGUAGUCCAUUGCCAUUGCCUUUCGGUAUUGAAUAGCUGCCUCCGGCUUUGCUCACAGAACCGUGGAUCUCCACACCAUCUGGCAUACGAGCAGAA
rnacentral:lncRNA from 1 species